AUGUGUGUACCAGAAAACCAAGAUGGACCGCGAUUCCGUGAUAUCCACUGUUUCAACCUGGCUUUGCCCGCCAAACAAGCAUGGCGUCUUAAUGAUAAUCCUGACUCCUUGUGUGCCACUAUUCUGAGGGCCAAGUACUACCCUGAUGGCGAUUUGCUGAAGUCUAAGCCAAAGCAUGGCACUUCUUUCACCUGGGAGAGCAUUAUGGCAGGUAUAACUACUCUGAAACAUGGCUAUAUUUGGCGAGUGGGUAACGGACAUAACAUCAAUAUCUGGGAAGAUGCCUGGAUCCCAAAAUGUGUCACUAGGAGGAUUGUGACCCCUAGGGGGAGCCAUUUGCUAUCAAAAGUGAGUGACCUAAUUGAUCCUGCUUCCAACAAUUGGGACGAGGAACUGAUUAGACAAACUAUGUGGCCCAUUGACGCACAACGAAUUCUUUCAAUCCCACUUUCGCAAUAUGAUAUGACAGAUUUCAUUGCCUGGAGUUACACAAAAAAUGGUAUGUUCUCGAUGAGGUCUACUUACUCAGUGGAAUGGAAUUAUCAGUAUGGGAGUAGACUCAAAUAUUCUAAUGGGAUGGGGCGAAUCACACCAAAUCCUGUUUGGCGUCAGAUAUGGAAGUUAUCCUGCCCAGCAAAAGUUAAAAAAAGUUAUAUGGCCUACAUUACAUGGCACUCUCCCAUGUUGGGUAACACUCGCUAA
rnacentral:rRNA from 1 species